rnacentral:rRNA from 1 species
CGCUGGCGGCAUGCCUUACACAUGCAAGUCGAACGGCAGCGCGGGGCAACCUGGCGGCGAGUGGCGAACGGGUGAGUAAUAUAUCGGAACGUACCCUGGAGUGGGGGAUAACGCAGCGAAAGUUACGCUAAUACCGCAUACGAUCUAAGGAUGAAAGUGGGGGAUCGCAAGACCUCAUGCUCCUGGAGCGGCCGAUAUCUGAUUAGCUAGUUGGUAGGGUAAAAGCCUACCAAGGCAUCGAUCAGUAGCUGGUCUGAGAGGACGACCAGCCACACUGGAACUGAGACACGGUCCAGACUCCUACGGGAGGCAGCAGUGGGGAAUUUUGGACAAUGGGCGCAAGCCUGAUCCAGCAAUGCCGCGUGAGUGAAGAAGGCCUUCGGGUUGUAAAGCUCUUUUGUCAGGGAAGAAACGGUGGUUUCUAAUACAGAUCACUAAUGACGGUACCUGAAGAAUAAGCACCGGCU